rnacentral:rRNA from 1 species
UGGGAACGUACCCUUCGGUUCGGGAUAACUCAGGGAAACUUGAGCUAAUACCGGAUACGUCCGAGAGGAGAAAGGUUUACUGCCGAAGGAUCGGCCCGCGUCUGAUUAGCUAGUUGGUGAGGUAACGGCUCACCAAGGCGACGAUCAGUAGCUGGUCUGAGAGGAUGAUCAGCCACAUUGGGACUGAGACACGGCCCAAACUCCUACGGGAGGCAG